ACAAACUUGGUCAUUUAGAGGAAGUAAAAGUCGUAACAAGGUUUCCGUAGGUGAACCUGCGGAAGGAUCAUUAGCAAAGAAAGUGGCUGGUGGUUGUUGGUGGUGGUUGUUGUGUGCACGCAGUGCACAUGUAGUGUGUGCAUGCAACAACCAACUACAAUCAACAGCAAUCAACACUAUAUUUACCCCGAAAGAUCAGUUGAUCUUUGGGUUCACAUAAACGAAUGAAUGUUUGUCAAUGUAUCACUUUAAUGUCGAUAUAACUUUUAACAAUGGAUCUCUUGGCUCUUGCAUCGAUGAAGAACGCAGC
rnacentral:misc_RNA from 1 species